AUUGAACGCUAGCGGGAUGCUUUACACAUGCCAGUCGAACGGCAGCGCGGACUUCGGUCUGGCGGCGAGUGGCGAACGGGUGAGUAAUGUAUCGGAACGUGCCCAGUAGCGGGGGAUAACUACGCGAAAGCGUAGCUAAUACCGCAUACGCCCUACGGGGGAAAGCAGGGGAUCGUAAGACCUUGCACUAUUGGAGCGGCCGAUAUCGGAUUAGCUAGUUGGUGAGGUAACGGCUCACCAAGGCGACGAUCCGUAGCUGGUUUGAGAGGACGACCAGCCACACUGGGACUGAGACACGGUCCAGACUCCUACGGGAGGCAGCAGUGGGGAAUUUUGGACAAUGGGGGCAACCCUGAUCCAGCCAUCCCGCGUGUGCGAUGAAGGCCUUCGGGUUGUAAAGCACUUUUGGCAGGAAAGAAACGUCGCGGGCUAAUACCCCGUGGAACUGACGGUACCUGCAGAAUAAGCACCGGCUAACUACGUG
rnacentral:rRNA from 1 species